AGCUUUGCGCAGUGGCAGUAUCGUAGCCAAUGAGGUUUAUCCGAGGCGCGAUUAUUGCUAAUUGAAAAAUGUUAUACUUGUUCAUGUGUGUGUUUUUUCCCAGUUAACCAGUAUGUCUUUGCCAGUCUUUUUUUAAA